rnacentral:tRNA from 1 species
AUUAAGGUAGCAAAGCCCGGCCAUGCACGAGGCUUAAAACCUCCAAACAGAUGUUCAAAUCAUCUCCUUAAUA